AGUAACCUGAAAUGCAGCAAGGUUCCUAUUGUUUUUGAGCCUACAUUACUUUAAACGGGAUUCCUAUAUCGCCGCAUGGAUGUCAAGCCUCCUUUGUCAGUGGAAGGCAGAAAUGCCGGCUGCGGUUGCCCACCUAGCUUUGCUAGGAGUCAAAAAAUAGGAACCGCAUUUUAGGGGUUAC
rnacentral:other from 1 species